GGAUAAGGUGUGUACAUUAAUUUUAACUUGCUUCUUUUUGAAGAUCCAAGACCUGCUCAUACAAGACCAGAAGUCAAAUGAAUCGAGCGAAAACACAACAGAUGCUGGGAAGCAGUUGGUCCAGUAUACGUCCCAGCAGGUCCUCCUGGCAGACCCCAUCAACAUGGACAACAGCGGGGAAGACCUUCCCAUUCUGCUGGAGCUGGAGGGCGACGCCUACUUCCGCGACGACUCGGAGGACCCUACCAUUUCCCUGCUUUCCAGUGAUUACCCCCCCAGUGACACAGAGGACCCCAAGCUGUCAUAAACACAUACAGGCUUUUCAUUUUAGUUUUAUUUUACAAAGGAUGUACAGCUGUGUCUGUCGCUCCAGUUUCAUAGGCGGUUGAAAUGAACAGGUGAACCAAAAAAAUUGAAAUUAAAUUGAGAACACUGUAAAUUCAGGCAAUCGUUUUUUUACAAGUUGUGAAAGCAUUUUUUUUUUGCUUAAUAUCCCAAAAAGCUGGGUUUAUCUUUGUUUUCUUUUUUCAGAUGUAUUAGGGUAGCUUAACCAAGAUAAAUAAAUUUAUCCUCAAUUAAAUAAAUUUAAGCAAUAGAAACGAUUAAGCUCCUUGCAUGAUCGUUCUUGUUUUCUACAAAAAUAUUUUUAGCAAGUACCUAAAUAAGUAUUAUGUUGGACACAUUGAAGGCGUACUAUGCAGAAUUUUUAGCCUUGCUUUGGUCCUGUGUUUACAAUGAACAAAGUCUCCUACUCUGUCUUCAACCCCACCCACUCACCCCGAGUUCCCCACCUUACAUAGGCUAGCUGGGUAGCUGGAAGCGACGUUUUUUUACAGGUCCAACAGAGGACAAGCCAUCACUGAAUCUGGGCAUCAUACAUAGCAACAAACACCCUGAUGAAAUGUGAUCCCGAACCACAGGCCCUGCAGCCACACCCACUCCUCCGUACACAGAAAAGAAUGCCCCGCCCGUAAAGUCCCAGACAUGUUUUAGAAAAAAUAAGGUGAAGGUGCACAUAUUGGGUGAAAGUGCAUAAAGACAGAGAUUACCAGUGCGUCAUAGAUGUGUCUCAGCAUGGUUAUUUUUAUAAUAUUUUCUAGGUAAAAAUCCUGCAUAGUAUGCCUUUAAAAAUGAACCUCUGAAAGCUGAGGGAAAGUGCAUUGCAGUUGGUCUAUAUCUUGGCUGUACAAUCUGAAAUGUUAUUUUCCUGUCCUGAUGAACAUUGCCCAUACAGAAGGCUGUCACUGGUGUGUUGCUGAAAUGUUCUGUAUUCUUGCCUUCUGGUGUUCGAGCAGCUUGCUAACCAUCUAUUUUUAACAGAUAGACCUUUGUGCUGUACAUAGCUUCUGUAAUAUGCAUUUUAGGCACAGAAUAUUUAUACGUUUCCAAAAGAUAAUAUUGAAUCCUGGAAACAGGGAAUUUGUUUUUGCAUAUAAAUUAUGUUGUUGACUUAUUUCUUGCAAAAGGAGAGCAUGGGUCUUUGGUUCACCCUUUCUUGCAAAGAGAAAAAUGUGGGUUUGAAACGGUAAAGUAAAAAAACAAAAAUUUGUAAUUGUUAUUCAUUAUACCACUAAGAUUACAGUCAUGCUACCGUUUUUUGUUUUGUUUUUAUUGAACUAAACCAUACCCUUGGUUAAACAAUUGUAAUCUUGAGUGUAAAUUGCAAUAGUUGUCUUUUUUAUAAAAAAGAUAUCUGCCUUUUAUUGCAUUGGCUCAUUUGCUUUUGAAAGCCAGAUUAAUUGUACACAGCCAAAAGAGAUGAUAUAAUAAAAGGUUCCUGUACAUAUGUACACUGUAGAUGCAUACAUUUUAAUGUUUAAAAGCAAUUUUAAUAGUCAACACGUUCCCAUAUCAUCCUAUACAUACCAGCAUAUUUUUGUUUUAUGGAUUGUCUUUCAGAAAAAUAAAGAUCCACGAAGAACUCUUUUUAUUUUUAAAGGGUUGUUUAGAAAUGGCUUGCUUUAUUGAAAGGGGGCUUGAUCAUUAUUUACAUUUCAGGUUUAACUGAAGGAAAACAGAACUAUUUUUCAUACGUGUUACUUGGUUACUUAAAAUUUUUGGGUUUUUAAAAUAUAUAUAUAUAUAUAUACUGUGUGUGCACUGUAUUUGCAGUUAAAUACACGGGUAUUGGGCAGUGACAGUUUUUAUUGUUUUGGCUCUGCACUCCAGCACACUGGAUUUGAAGUAGAACAAUGAAUAUGGGGUUAAAGUGUGGACUGUCAGCUUUAAUUUGAGCGUAUUUACAUUGCAUGCAUACUGUCCCCAUUUUAGGGGAGCAAAAGUAACUGGACGAAUGAACACAACCUGAAAUGAAGUCAUAAUUUUUUGUACUUUGUUGCAAAUCCUUUGCAUUCGAUAUCUUCCUAGAUAUCUUCCCUGGUGAUGCUUUGCUAGGCCCGUACUGCAGCCAUCUUCAGUUCCUGUUUGUUCCUAGGUUGUUUUGCCUUCAGUCUUGUCUGCAGGAAGAUUCACUUGGCCAUUCCACAUUUUGGUCCUGAAAAACUCCUGUGUUGCUUUACCAGUGUGUUCGGGGUCAUUGUCCUGGAAGGUGAAGCACCAAUCAGUUUUGAGGCCUUUGGAUGGAUCUGACUAAAGAUGUUUUUUGUUACUUUUAGCAAACUCUGACCUGACCACUCUGUUCUUCAGGCUUAUCAGUGGUUUGCAUCUUGGAGGGAACGCUCUGAGGUUGUGCUGGUGUCGUCUAUUCUUUAUGGUAGUAUUCACAGUCGGAAGUAUUUGGUCAUCCCCUACAGUGUCAUUCUUGCAGUGUAUCAAACAGUUUAUUUUGACCCAAUGUCUCUAUUGGGUUUAUUCAGAUUCAUGUUCAGAGACAACAGCAACAAUGCUAAUUCAACACCUAGAAUUAACUCUAUACUUUUUUUUUUAGCUUUCUUGUUCAUGUACUGGUGAUGCAAAGACACAGCUGGCCAAGACACAGGUGAUCAGCCAAUUGUUCCAUUACUUUUGCUCCCCUAAAAUGUGGGGACCAUGUAUGAAUAGAGCUGUAAUUCCUACAUGGAUCACAAAUUAUAAUAACCUCAAAUUAAAGCUGACUGUCUGUACUUUAACCUCGCAUUGUUUUAUUUCCAGUCCAGAGCAGAAACAACGAAUAUUCUGUCACAGUCUCAAUACUUUUGCAUUUAACUGUAUAUUGGCAUACUGCAUUGCCAAGCAUUGCUUUGUAUAAGGGUGUUACCAAUUCCUGAAAAUGUUGAAUUUGUAAGCAACUUUUAUUUUUUAUGCUGAUGAGUGUUGAGGUGUUUAUUUCUGUGUCCAAUAGAUGAACCUUAACAUUCUUUUCAAACUGUUAGUUUGGCAAAUGUCACUGCGUGAGAAUUCCUGUAUGAAAAGAUUUUGUGUAUAAGGAUGAAACCUUGUUUUUGGCAUGUUUUGUCACAGAUUAUCAUGGUUAUUUUAAAAUGUUCAAAUACAGGCUUUGGCAAAUAUAAUACACAUAACUGGU